rnacentral:rRNA from 1 species
CAGCAGCCGCGGUAAUACGGAGGGGGCUAGCGUUGUUCGGAAUUACUGGGCGUAAAGCGCACGUAGGCGGCUUGGUAAGUUAGAGGUGAAAGUCCGGAGCUCAACUCCGGAAUUGCCUUUAAGACUGCCGAGCUAGUAGGUGAGAGAGGUAAGUGGAAUUCCGAGUGUAGAGGUGAAAUUCGUAGAUAUUCAGAAGAACACCAGUGGCGAAGGCGGCUUACUGGCUCAUUCUAGACGCUGAGGUGCGAAAGCGUGGGGAGCAAACAGGAUUAGAUACCCCUGUAGUCCCUGUCUCUUAUAA